rnacentral:rRNA from 1 species
UUAUUUGAGAGUUUGAUCCUGGCUCAGGAUGAACGCUGGCGGCGUGCCUAACACAUGCAAGUUGAGCGAUUUACUUCGGUAAAGAGCGGCGGACGGGUGAGUAACGCGUGGGUAACCUACCCUGUACACACGGAUAACAUACCGAAAGGUAUGCUAAUACGGGAUAAUAUAUUUGAGAGGCAUCUCUUGAAUAUCAAAGGUGAGCCAGUACAGGAUGGACCCGCGUCUGAUUAGCUAGUUGGUAAGGUAACGGC